UACGUAGGGGGCAAGCGUUGUCCGGAAUCAUUGGGCGUAAAGAGCGCGUAGCGGCCCGGUAAGUCCGCCGUGAAAGUCCAGGGCUCAACCCUGGAAUGCCGGUGGAAACUGUCGGGCUGGAGUCCGGAAGAGGCGAGUGGAAUUCCUGGUGUAGCGGUGAAAUGCGCAGAUAUCAGGAGGAACACCAAUGGCGAAGGCAGCUCGCUGGGACGGUACUGACGCUGAGACGCGAAAGCGUGGGGAGCAAACAGG
rnacentral:rRNA from 1 species